GGUACAUGACCUAUCAAUGCAGUUACAUAUUUUUAAGGUUACUGCCUUUGUAUCAGGAUAAGUGGUCAGUCUUAAAAUGAUUCCGCGUAGAGAAUAGAACUUGCUUGUGUGAAAGGGUAUGACUAUUCCAAAGAUGCCUCUGUGAAAGUUUUUUUUCCCUCUCCCCUCCAAUGUUGACUUCUAAGCAAGUUUCAGCGUCUUUGGUGUGCUGCCCUCAUCCUUUUCUUUGGGUUGCCAUCAGAAAUGAUGAAGUUUGAAGUUCCUGAAUGUUAUCCAUUUAUUGGACUCGACUUUCCGCCCUUUCCUUGAAUUCAAGGAGCCAGGUCAAAACGACAUAACCGGUCUCAAGAAGAAUCUUCCUUUGAGACAUGUUCAACAUGUUUUAUCCACAUGCAAACUCUGAUGUGCAUAUCUAUGAAUUCAGAGUGAGUAUUCAGACCAAAAGUAAGCUGACUCCCUGCUCCGUAGCCUCAGAACACCCAACAUUUCUCUCCACAAGUACCUUGGGAGCCCUGAGCUGAUAUAUAAGAAGUCCAGCUUCCCUCAAGCUGUCUGUUGGAAGCACCCUGGGGAGAAAGCACAUCUCCAAGUGAGGCAGUCAUGCCUGAGAAGCCCAAGCGGCCCAACCCCCAGCUCUAUGGUGGAGGGACAAAGGGUGAGGCAGAGAGAGAGAAUCUGGAG